rnacentral:rRNA from 1 species
CGACCCCAGGUCAGGCGGGACUACCCGCUGAGUUUAAGCAUAU